rnacentral:rRNA from 1 species
UACGGAGGAUCCGAGCGUUAUCGGGGAUUUAUUGGGUUUAAAGGGUGCGCAGGCGGGGGAUUAAGUCGGCGGUGAAAUUUUGCAGCUCAACUGUAAAAAGUGCCUUCGAAACUGGUUUCCUUGAGUGUAGAUGAAGUAGGCGGAAUUUGUGGUGUAGCGGUGAAAUGCAUAGAUAUCACGAGGAACUCCGAUUGCGCAGGCAGCUUACUAAACUACUACUGACGCUCAGGCACGAAGGCGUGGGGAUCAAACAGGAUUAGAUACCCUGGUAGU